rnacentral:tRNA from 2 species
GCCCCGUUCGUCUAGCCCGGUCUAGGACACCUCUCUUUCAAGGAGGAAACAGGGGUUCGAAUCCCCUACGGGGUA